rnacentral:rRNA from 1 species
AAAACCUUACCUACCCUUGACAUGUACGGAACUUGCCAGAGAUGGCUUGGUGCUCGAAAGAGAGCCGUAACACAGGUGCUGCAUGGCUGUCGUCAGCUCGUGUCGUGAGAUGUUGGGUUAAGUCCCGCAACGAGCGCAACCCUUGUCAUUAGUUGCUACAUUUAGUUGGGCACUCUAAUGAGACUGCCGGUGACAAACCGGAGGAAGGUGGGGAUGACGUCAAGUCCUCAUGGCCCUUAUGGGUAGGGCUACACACGUCAUACAAUGGCUGGUACAAAGGGUUGCCAACCCGCGAGGGGGAGCUAAUCCCAUAAAGCCAGUCGUAGUCCGGAUCGUAGUCUGCAACUCGACUGCGUGAAGUCGGAAUCGCUAGUAAUCGUGGAUCAGAAUGUCACGGUGAAUACGUUCCCGGGUCUUGUACACACCGCCCGUCACACCAUGGGAGCGGGUCUCGCCAGAAGUAGUUAGCCUAACCGCAAGGGG